AAAUUAAUUUAAAAAAAUAUUUAUUUUUUUAAAAUAUUUUUUGAAUCGCUUACUAAAUGUCAUCUUAGAGGAAAGGGUUGGUGUCUAGCUGUCCAAAUUAAACAUGCGCCAGAAAACAGCCAGAAGGGUGAGGUGCACAAAUCCCCACUUUUAACAUCCCAUGGUGAUAACUAUUAAUCCUAAUCGUAAAAUAACUAAAGUUGAGAAAAAGGAAUAAUGGGCCAGCAAGUUAAUGCUUCAAGCAUAUGCUUGGAAGAUCCCCUCUCACGUAGUCUACUUUUGUUUGCCUUCAAAAUUCAACCAUCUCUUCUUCAUUCAUUCUCCUUGAAAAAUCCUUCAUGGCCUCCAUUAGAUGUCCACUGCAAGAAAUUCUGAUGAUGGGAAAGAUCAGCAAGAUCAGCAGUGAUGAUGAAGGUGAUGAAGAUUGGAUUCAUCAAGACAUGCAAAAAUGGUAGCACUUUUUUGUAUCAAGUUUGGGCAACUGAGGAUCCUUUGGCAGUGCAUCUAGAAUGAGAUGCUUAUGGCUCAAGCAUACAUGUCACCAGUUAUAUAGGGCUGGUUGUGUAAGAAAAGGAGAGUUUUUCAGUUCCUUUCUUUUCUUUUCUUAAUGUCCGAAUACUGAGCUCUUAUAAUCAAAUGUUAUUGCAGCAGCUCCUACUAGAUAGAGCUUGUUAAUUUGUUCUUCAUUUGUUUGCUUCAUUUGAAUCUCUAUGGUGAAGGGGAGACGCUGGAUCUUGACUGAAAAAUUCAGGGAAAAAAAUGCAAAUAUUCAAGAUCCAGGCUACCAAAUCCAGUGAAAUUUUAGAUCUAUUGUUGGUUAAAAUACUAAACUUUGAACAGGAUUUUACCAAGGGGAAUGAAGAAUUCAGCAGAAAGUUUAACCCAAGCAAUGCUCACACAACGAUUAUCAUAAGUAGAACUGAUGCACUCCAUCAACCAAACCAAGAGGUGUAACCCUAGGGGAUGCUGCACAGCUAAGUUAAAACAGAACAAAUCUAACACUGCAAUAACAAGAUGCUUUUCUGCUAACAAUGAAUAUGACAUCACACCGAAUAGUGAGAUAAGAUCAAUAAUUUCUUCGAGCAAAGUUCUGAAAUAGUUAGUGGUGGGAGUUUUAAUAGAAAUUCGAGAGGAAUAUAGCUACCAGUUCAACAUAUCCAAGCAUGAUAAAGACUUCAUAACACAGAAGGCAGGACUAUUGUAUUCAGAUUGCAUCCUACAGUACCUCAUGCCUGGAAAACAAAUACACUAACCGGAAAUGUACUCUAACCCUUGUUUCUCC
rnacentral:lncRNA from 1 species